UCUGCACCAUAUGUCUUCACUUUGAUGCUCAAUCGCAUGCCUCUCAUUUUUUUCUCUUCCGCUAAGCUUCAGACGCCACUCUUCAUUUCCAUGUGAAGAUGGUUUCGUCCCCAUUUUCAUUUCUCUCUUCUUUCUGAAUUUUUAUGCGGUUUCCAGAAUUGUCACUUUUAUGGCAUCUUUCACAUUUUAUUUUAAUUUCAUGUUUAUCUCCUUUAUCAUUACAAGGUUCUAUAUUUGAAUGCACAAGGUUCUGAUUUGCAACCCGUUUCUUCACAGUGGCAGAGAUAACGAAGAAAUCCUAAGCAUCGAAUGCUGCAAACACGAAAAUCGUUUUUAUGAAAUCAUGUGUGGCUGCUUCCAUCAUUGUUGUCUGUGUUUAGUUCUUCCAGUUCCAGGUGCAGUGGACUAAAUUGAUCUGGGAAAAUAGUGUUUCUGCCCUCUUAUUUAGUGGAGGCCAUAUGCAUACAUCUAAAAGACAGCUUGGACAGACUUUCCCAAAGCUGAUUUAAAUAGAUAUAUGUGUUGUCAUGCUCCCACUACAUGCAAGUGAGGCUGGAAAAAAUCGAUGAGUACUUCAUUUGGGCAACUAAAAAGUCCACUAAAAAGUAUGCAAGUUAAACAAAAGAGUGAGCUUAAUCGAGGUUAGCUUUGUUCCAUUUAGCCAAGUGGUUCUCUCAGUUGGGUUGAUGCUGCUGAUGGAUUUUUGUUGUUCUGUUAUUGAGUUCUGGGGCCUUCUACUGCUGUCUUCGUCCCCUGUUUUUCCCCUAUUUGUCUCAUAUUCUAUCUUUGCUGUAUUAAUUUUGUUGCCUUUGUUUCUUUGUUGUAUUGCUUUUGUUGCUUUUGCUCAUCCUCUGCUGUUGGGAUGGGGUGUACUUGGCCUUGAGAUUUUUCUCUUGGCUUUUAUCAAUAAUAUCAUGUCUCCUUUCAAAAUAAAAAUUAUAGGUGGACAUUUUAAUAGUCUCUUUUUGUCCCCUUACAAUUUGUUCAUCGAAGUUAUUGGAAAUAACCCUCAUUUCUAACGGCAUUGUAUAUGAUGAUGUUGAUCUGGUGCAGAUCAUAUGCCAUCGAUAGAUAAAUCAAGCUCUAACUUUUUAGUUUAACCUAAUUUUUUUCUAGCAUAUGAGCAAAGUCCUUCCUCCACAGAUGCUAAAGCAAAUAGGUAGCAUGAGAGGAUUGAUUGAAGAGCUUGAUGAAGCAGAUGAGAUCUACUAAGGAAGAAUGUUUGGUGGUGGCUUAUGAGCUGUGGUUGUUUUCGAUUACUUCUAUAUACUCAUAUUUCACUAGAGCUAGAUUUGGCAUUGCCAAAUUUAUUGGAUUAGGAUGUUCAUCAAUUUAUUUCAAUUUCAAUAUCUCGAGGGAUGUAAUGGAAUUGUUUGUUUCAAUUUCACAUUGACUGUCUUUUUAGAUGAAAAUUAAAAUC